rnacentral:rRNA from 1 species
CCCUUAGAUGUUCUGGGCUGCACGCGCGCUACACUGAUGCGUUCAACGAGUUUAUGACCUUGCCCGAUAGGGUUGGGUAAUCUUUUUAAAUCGCAUCGUGAUGGGGAUAGAUUAUUGCAAUUAUUAAUCUUCAACGAGGAAUUCCUAGUAAGCGCGAGUCAUCAGCUCGUGCUGAUUACGUCCCUGCCCUUUGUACACACCGCCCGUCGCUCCUACCGAUUGAAUGGUCCGGUGAAAUGUUCGGAUCGCGGCAAAUCGGACGGGUAACCGUCAGGUUCGCUGCGAGAAGUUCAUUAAACCUUAUCAUUUAGAGGAAGGAGAANUCGUAGCA